GGAGUUAGCUCAGUUGCAGAGCGGAUGCUUAGCAUGCACGAGGUCCUGGGUUCAAUCCCCAGUACCUCUA
rnacentral:tRNA from 1 species